AUUGAACGCUGGCGGCAGGCCUAACACAUGCAAGUCGAGCGGAGCGGCGGACGGGUGAGUAAUGCCUAGGUAUCUGCCUGGUAGUGGGGGCUAACGUCCGGAAACGGGCGCUAAUACCGCAUCCUAUCAGAUGAGCCUAGGUCGGAUUAGCUAGUUGGUGGGGUAAAGGCCUACCAGGGCGACGAUCCGUAACUGGUCUGAGAGGAUGAUCAGUCACACUGGAAUUGUGACACGGUCCAGACGCCUACGGCAGGCAGCAGUGGGGAAUUGUGGACAAUGGGCGAAAGCCUGAUCCAGCCAUCCCGCGUGUGUGAAGAAGGUCUUCGGAUUGUAAAGCACUUUAAGUUGGGAGGCGUUACCUACAGAAUAAGCACCGGCUAACUUCGUGCCAGCAGCCGCGGUAAUAC
rnacentral:rRNA from 1 species